rnacentral:rRNA from 1 species
GAUGAACGCUGGCGGCGUGCCUAAUACAUGCAAGUCGAGCGAACAGACGAGGAGCUUGCUCCUCUGACGUUAGCGGCGGACGGGUGAGUAACACGUGGAUAAGCUACCUAGAAGACUGGGGUAACUUCGGGAAACCGGAGCUAAUACCUGCUAAUAUAGUAAGACGGAUGGGUCCAUAGUGAAAGACGGUUUUGCUGUCACUUGUAGGUGGAUCCGCGCCGCAUUAGCUAGUUGGUAAGGUAAAGGCUUACCAAGGCAACGAUGCGUAGCCGACCUGAGAGGGUGAUCAGCCACACUGGAACUGAGACCCGGUCCAGACUCCUACGGGAGGCAGCAGUAGGGAAUCUUCCGCAAUGGGCGAAAGCCUGACGGAGCAACGCCGCGUGAGUGAUGAAGGUCUUCGGAUCGUAAAACUCUGUUAUUAGGGAAGAACAACUGUGUAAGUAACUAUGCACGUCUUGACGGUACCUAAUCAGAAAGCCACGGCUAACUACGUG